rnacentral:lncRNA from 1 species
AAAUACUAGACACCUCUAGUACUCUAAUAGAGUGUUAAUGGCAAUGACAACACAGGGUCCUGGCACUACUGACUUUGGAUCUGUGGGCAGUAUUUGGAUCAAUAGCAGUAUUGUUGCCGAUUGAAAAUUCAGGGAGACACACACACAUGUACCCCAGGUGCUGAGGACUGAACACAUGGACUCACACAUCAUACAUGGGUAAGCUCUCCCAUCUACCACCUAGCUUCAGGUUUGUCAGCCAUCUCUCCA